rnacentral:rRNA from 1 species
AGCGAACGCUGGCGGCAGGCCUAACACAUGCAAGUCGAACGAACCUUUCGGGGUUAGUGGCGGACGGGUGAGUAACACGUGGGAACGUGCCUUUAGGUUCGGAAUAACUCAGGGAAACUUGUGCUAAUACCGAAUGUGCCCUUCGGGGGAAAGAUUUAUCGCCUUUAGAGCGGCCCGCGUCUGAUUAGCUAGUUGGUUGAGGUAAUGGCUCACCAAGGCGACGAUCAGUAGCUGGUCUGAGAGGAUGAUCAGCCACAUUGGGACUGAGACACGGCCCAAACUCCUACGGGAGGCAGCAGUGGGGAAUCUUGCGCAAUGGGCGAAAGCCUGACGCAGCCAUGCCGCGUGAAUGAUGAAGGUCUUAGGAUUGUAAAAUUCUUUCACCGGGGACGAUAAUGACGGUACCCGGAGAAGAAGCCCCGGCUAACGUCG